rfam:Ictidomys tridecemlineatus contig026262, whole genome shotgun sequence.
GUGGUUGUGGCUCACCGGUAGAGCGCUUGCCUAGCAUGUGCAAGGUCCUGGGUUUGAUCCUCAGCACCACA